GUUUCUUCUGAAGGACUUGCUGUCGAUGUUAGGACAUCUAUGUAGUGUAUAGUCGACCAGUCAUCUCCAUCACACGUGAUUCAUAAGUGUAGAUGUAUGUUUUUGCUCAACCCAUGGAAUACACUACAUGACCUACAGUAAGUGGUUGGGAUCUAGAUAUGUUUUUGCUCAUGUAAUUUAUCUCUAAUCCCCUGUCAAGCGUUACAUAUUUGCAGGUAGUAAUCUUUUGUUCUUCCAUCAAUUUUAUUAAUUGAACACACAAUUGGACCUUAUUGUCAUCAAGGACAGUACGUAAUGGGUUGAUGAGAUAACUGAAAUUUCAUAACAGCGACUCCAUGCAUGCGUCAUGAUGUUGUCAACGGUGUGGCUAAGGCAGAAGGUGUAACCAAAUAUGAUGCAGGUGAAGCUGCUACAGAUCAGAAAGAGCAAAAAGGUUCAACAACCAUGAAAUCCUAGCUGAGGACGUGCAAGACUGGGAUAUAGCCAGUAACCGGGGGCAAGGGCAGCGUGCGCAG
rnacentral:rRNA from 1 species